GUCCUGCUCAAAGGCCCAAUGACCUCUCUCUGCUUCCAGAUUGAUCCACAAGCCAGCUGUGUCAAGAGACAACAAAAUUUUCAGAGGAAAAUUGGAAGGUGACGAGGCGAGACUCCACGCUCCCCUACAGACCUCCAGGCAGUGUGACUCAAUACCCAAAUGCAACUGUGUGCAUCUAAAAGCUGGAAGCAAAAGGAACAUAAACUGAAAAGUGACCGUACAUCAAUUCUGAACAUAGAAAACUACUUUAUA